rnacentral:rRNA from 1 species
UGGGGAAUAUUGCACAAUGGGGGAAACCCUGAUGCAGCGACGCCGCGUGAACGAAGAAGGUAUUCGUAUCGUAAAGUUCUGUCCUAUGGGAAGAUAAUGACAGUACCAUAGAAGAAAGCUCCGGCUAAAUACGUGCCAGCAGCCGCGGUAAUACGUAUGGAGCGAGCGUUGUCCGGAAUUAUUGGGCGUAAAGGGUACGCAGGCGGUUUAAUAAGUCGAAUGUUAAAGAUCGGGGCUCAACCCCGUAAAGCAUUGGAAACUGAUAAACUUGAGUAGUGGAGAGGAAAGUGGAAUUCCUAGUGUAGUGGUGAAAUACGUAGAGAUUAGGAGGAAUACCAGUAGCGAAGGCGACUUUCUGGACACAAACUGACGCUGAGGUACGAAAGCGUGGGGAGCAAACAGG